rnacentral:sRNA from 1 species
UGCAAUAGUACGGGAAACUCAAGGGUGGAUCGGCAUUCUACCCCUACGGAAAGGGGGUGAUGCCGAUGACGGUAUUUGAAGCGUUAAUGUUUGCGAUAGCAUUUACAAGUUUAGUCGUUUCAAUACUGUCACAUCAUCAAAAGAAAUAAUCCACCCUUGAGUUGACGGUGGUUGGGUGGAUUAUUUCUCCCUAUACUGCCGAUCUCCCUUGGCGGGAACCGUCUAUUGCGCGACCGAGGGUGUUGCCGCACCUUCG